AGUAAGAGAUGUUGACUAACUUCCUCAAUAUCCCAGAGACAAAAAGGGUUGGAACCAGGACUUGGACAUUAACUUGACUCCAGAUGAGUGCUGGCCUCUCGUCGUCCAGUGAAGUGACCUUCUGCUCCCAGGUCUGGAGCCCACAAGGCUGCCCUCCUCGGCAGUGGCAGUGCCGUGUGAGCUGUGGGUCCUCCCUCCACCUUCCUGUCCAUCACGCACUGUCUGCGGCUGCGCCUCUUCUCCCACGCCUCACUUACUGCUUUUCUUUGGACAGUGUGUUCAUGCUCCUGAUAUGAGUAUUCUUCAAGCAGUCUCAACAGCCGUGAGUCAAGCAUGCUGGAAUGUCUAGCUUCGGUGGAACCUUGUGAACCAAGCCCUCAUAGGGCCACUACCAAAACUGGAAACUCCUCUUCCCAGAAAACAUCUUCAACUCCCUAGAAAUUUGCUCUCUUACACUGAUUUUAUUUCUCUCACAGUGUUGGCACAGGGUAGAUGCUAAAUACUUAAGUUCAAACAAGUUUGCCUUUUAUGAACUUGUUAUGCCUUGAAUUAAUUCAAAUUUUGUGAAAUACUCCCUAGCAGUCUAAAUGGAAAAUGAGGUGAUUAAGGUGGUAAUCAACUCAUAAUCCGGGGAUUGUAGUCCAGUACUAGUAUUAUGCAUUUUUUCUUUGUACUGCUUCUAAAACAGGAUAUUUUCUUGGGUUUCGGCUGUCUUUUAAUUUCCUGAAUCUAAUCUUUCAGUCUGUGAAUGACCUUUACAAAACUUAAAGGAUCAUUGUGAAGUAAUAGGCUUAGAUAAUACUGCUUUGGAGAAACAUGAUGCAGUUCCUAAGAAUUCCUUAGAGUAAAUCUGUUAGGCUUUGUAGAAUGACUUAUUCCUCUCUCCGCUUGAUUAAUUUAACAAUUCACAUAUUAGCCUUCUUACUUAAGAGGAGCAUAUACAACUGAGAAAAGAUGAAAGCUGUGUGGGAAAACACAAAACAGAACAGAACUCAUAAAGCAGUGUACUGGGUGAAUCUCAUCCGGUCUCCUGCGUGGUGAGGGGCCAGUGAAUCCGUUUGCAGAAGAAGACGUCCCAGGCCGGGAGAUACGCAAACAUCAUUAGUUACCGGAGGGGCGGGAGCAGCUUCUCCCCCGAGGGCUGCCAGUGUCUCCCAUGGGAAAGGCUGUCCUUACUCCCUACUUCUUGACAGGAAGAAAGGAAAAGAAGGAGUGAAGAAAUAUCCAAGAGGAAGUGAAAAGGAGGAAAAGGUUCAAACUCAAUCCAGCAACCGCCUUCCUUGUGUGUCCACGGGAGACCUUAGGGCAGUGCCUAGGACUGCCUAUGCUAACGGGGGGAAGGAGGUAAUAUGGCCUAAACUUUUUCUUCUUUGGAAUCUCAUUCAUAUCAUGACCGUAAAAGAUUACCUUACAUAUACCUUGUUAAGACAGCACCUAGGUAAUAAGAUGGCAAGGCCUAAGUUUUUUUCUUCUUUUUAAUACUGUCAACACCAUGACUGGAAAAUUUUAGCACAUACACACUUAUACCUAUGCCUAUGUUUACGCACCUAUACUUGUGCAUGCAUAUAUACCUACCGGCAUACCCAUGUACAUACACAUAACACUGCUGAACACAUCCAUAGACACUUCUAUGAUACAGAUGCAUACACACUCAUGUACUUUUUCCCCUCAGUCUCCAACCCUUGCCCAUAGUAACCUUGCCCUUGCUUAGCCAAGCCACUUUUCCAGUA